rnacentral:rRNA from 1 species
UGUGUAGGCGGUUGUUUAAGUUUGGUGUGAAAUCUCCCGGCUCAACUGGGAGGGUGCGCCGAAUACUGAAUGACUUCGAGUGCGGGAGAGGAAAGUGGAAUUCCUGGUGUAGCGGUGAAAUGCGUAGAUAUCAGGAGGAACACCGGUGGUGUAGACGGCUUUCUGGACCGUAACUGACGCUGAGACACGAAAGCGUGGGUAGCAAACAGGAUUAGAUACCCUGGUAGUCCACGCCCUAAACGAUGCAUAUUUGGUGUGGACAGUUCAUUCUGUCCGUGCCGGAGCUAACGCGUUAAAUAUGCCGCCUGGGGAGUACAGUCGCAAGACUGAA